UCUUCCGUAGUAUAGUGGUCAGUAUGUGAGCUUGUCAACUUCCAGUCGAUUCGCUCGAGACCCGGGUUCAAUUCCCGGCGGGAGAG